AGUGGGGGAUAACGUAGCGAAAGUUACGCUAAUACCGCAUAUUCUGUGAGCAGGAAAGCAGGGGAUCGCAAGACCUUGCGCUUUCGGAGCGGCCGAUGUCGGAUUAGCUAGUUGGUGAGGUAAAAGCUCACCAAGGCGACGAUCCGUAGCUGGUCUUAGAGGAUGAUCAGCCACACUGGGACUGAGACACGGCCCAGACUCCUACGGGAGGCAGCAGUGGGGAAUUUUGGACAAUGGGGGCAACCCUGAUCCAGCCAUGCCGCGUGAGUGAAGAAGGCCUUCGGGUUGUAAAGCUCUUUCGGACAGAAAGAAAUCGCAUCGGCUAAUACUCGAUGUGGAUGACGGUACUGUCAUAAGAAGCACCGGCUAACUACGUGCCAGCAGCCGCGGUAAUACGUAGGGUGCGAGCGUUAAUCGGAAUUACUGGGCGUAAAGCGUGCGCAGGCGGUUUUGAAAGACAGGCGUGAAAUCCCCGGGCUCAACCUGGGAACUGCGCUUGUGACUUCAAGACUCGAGUACGGCAGAGGGGGGUAGAAUUCCA
rnacentral:rRNA from 1 species